UACAGAGGUGGCAAGCGUUGUUCGGAAUUACUGGGCUUAAAGCGCGCGUAGGCGGCAUCGUUAGUGUCUGGUGAAAUCCCACGGCUCACCCGUGGAACUGCCGGGCAUACUGCGGUGCUAGAGUGUGGUAGGGGAGAGCGGAACUCCUGGUGGAGCGGUGAAAUGCGUAGAUAUCAGGAGGAACACCGGUGGCGAAGGCGGCUCUCUGGUCCAUAACUGACGCUGAGGUGCGAAAGCUAGGGGAGCAAACGGG
rnacentral:rRNA from 1 species